AUUGAACGCUGGCGGCAGGCCUAACACAUGCAAGUCGAGCGAGCGGCGGACGUGUGAGUACUGUAUGGGGAUCUGCCCGUUCGAGGGGGAUAACUACUGGCAACGGUCGCUAAUACCGCAUACUCUCGGUUGAACCCAGAUGGCAUUAGCUAGUAGGUGGGGUAAAGGCUCACCUAGGCGACGAUCUCUAGCUGGUCUGAGAGGAUGAUCAGCCACACUGGGACUUAGACACGGCCCAGACUCCUACGGGAGGCAGAAGUGGGGAAUAUUGCACAAUGGGCGCAAGCCUGAUGCAGCCAUGCCGCGUGUAUGAAGAAGGCCUUAGGGUUGUAAAGUACUUUCAGCGGGGAGGCGUUACCCGAAGAAGAAGCACCGGCUAACUCCGUGCCAGCAGCCGCGGUAAUUC
rnacentral:rRNA from 1 species